GUGAGCCUGUUUCUCGAAGACAUUAAAUAUUAUAAAAAAGGUAAUAUAAUUUAUAUAAUGUAUAUAAUGAUAUUAUCACGUCCCGGUUCCGCCAUUAAAUUGUCCUCUGGACAACAAGUUGGCUGCAUUUUCUUUUCGGUGGAAAGAAUAAACAACUGCCGAGUCCGCCGGAUGUGGUGCCGUUGGAAGUACAAGCAAAUUGGGAUCUACCUAGAAAAGUGGUACCAGCGUAGUACUCACAAAGCAGGUACAAUGCAUUCAAAAGCUCAGGAAAAAAAUGAAAAAUUCUAAUUAGCAAACAGCACUUUUGUGGUUCUGAAUGGCUGUGCGGGUUCCGGAUUCGCGCAUCGUAUUUAAGGACUUUGUGACGCACCUUCCUUCGGACAUUGACCUCGGACGUAUGAUGACAUCGAAAUUCAGUGCACGAACCCCAUUUAGAAGAAUUCAAUUACUUCAAUCAAACAGCUGCGUCCCUGAAUCGACGUUUACCUGGCAUUCUGACAAGUACUGCUACUAGACGACGUUCCAGGAACUACUUUGAACGACCACUUCGAAGUGCUACAACCGUCGCUUGGAUCGAAACGAUCAUUUGACCAACAAAACGCUCCGUUACAGCAUGAGCUCUCUGGGGCCAUAUUCUGGAUUCACUGGAAUGUAGUCAAAUGGUCCCAAAAUUAGUAUUGAGCAGCUUGUUAAGCCCAGCAACAUUUCUUGAACCGCCGCUUGACAAAGUUAUCUUGAAAAAUCACUCCCUGCAACUAUGUUCACGGAACAGGCCAAAUGGCCUCCAGUUUUUUAUCCGUUUCAUCAAAAUAAUGUAAUUAAUAUUAUUAAAAUAUAGCUAGGUUUAGUAUAAAAUAUAGC